UGACGAGUGGCGGACGGGUGAGUAAUGCUUGGGAAUCUGGCUUAUGGAGGGGGAUAACUGUGGGAAACUGCAGCUAAUACCGCGUAUUCUCUGAGGAGGAAAGGGUGGGACCUUAGGGCCACCUGCCAUAAGAUGAGCCCAAGUGGGAUUAGGUAGUUGGUGGGGUAAAGGCCUACCAAGCCUGCGAUUUCUAGCUGGUCUGAGAGGAUGACCAGCCACACUGGAACUGAGACACGGUCCAGACUCCUACGGGAGGCAGCAGUGGGGAAUAUUGCGCAAUGGGGGGAACCCUGACGCAGCCAUGCCGCGUGAAUGAAGAAGGCCUUCGGGUUGUAAAGUUCUUUCGGUAAUGAGGAAGGGAUGUUGUUAAAUAGAUAGCAUCAUUGACGUUAAUUACAGAAGAAGCACCGGCUAACUCCGUGCCAGCAGCCGCGGUAAUACGGAGGGUGCGAGCGUUAAUCGGAAUAACUGGGCGUAAAGGGCACGCAGGCGGACUUUUAAGUGAGAUGUGAAAUCCCCGAGCUUAACUUGGGAACUGCAUUUCAGACUGGGAGUCUAGAGUACUUUAGGGAGGGGUAGAAUUCCACGUGUAGCGGUGAAAUGCGUAGAGAUGUGGAGGAAUACCGAAGGCGAAGGCAGCCCCUUGGGAAUGUACUGACGCUCAUGUGCGAAAGCG
rnacentral:rRNA from 1 species